rnacentral:misc_RNA from 1 species
UCCGGGGCAGAAAAUUGGACGAU